ensembl:lncRNA
CGUGUCAUCACUCCCUCCUUUGUUGAUAUUAUUCAUGACAUUUUCUGAGAGUUACACAUUUUUCCGUCUAUAAAUGAUUUCCCACAUUCCCUCCAGAUCUGUCUCUGUUGACUUUUAUCACAAUAUAGAGACAAUAUUGAAAGCCAUAUGCGAAAAUCAGUUAACGCACAAUUCAGAAUUGAGGUCUGGGAAAAAAAUAGUUAUUUUAAAGUUUACCCAACACCCUCCCCCAGGCUGGAGUUGUGAGUGGUUUGCUCUGGGGGAAGCUCAGUCAUGAGUGAAUGACAAGCCCUGGACAGCUCCAUUAGGAAAACAGAUGGUAGGGGAGUGGAAAAAAGGCUAUGUAACAAAUGUAAUAUUGUCUGAAUGCAUGAGGCUGCAGGACCUGCACACAGCUUGAGUGCUUGGCUAGAACUCAAACCAUCCGUUUUGGCAAGCAAGCUGCCGGCGGACGGUCGGUAACUAGCCGAGGCGCAGGUUGACUCUCACGGUCAGUAGCCGACUUCUCCACGUCACGCAUCAGGUAGUUAUCUCCACAGCGCUCGUGAAGUGAGACCGUGCCUGGCCAGCUGUCUUUGAGGCCAAACAAAAGAGGAGGAACGCCAGUGAGAGGAGAAAGAUUCCUUCUGGCACUGCCUUCAUUUAAAGAGAGAUGACAGCUGAUGGAGCAACAUCUCACAUUGGAAAGAGACUCUUGUUCACAAACACACCAGAGUGUUAAUGAGUUCCUGAAAUCACUACCUAAGACCCAAGGCUGACAAGUACAAUGAUGGAAACCAGAUACUGGUACUUUGGCAUAUCUGAGAACAGUUGGAGGCUGUUAGGAUCUUUUUUUGAAACUCACAGGAGUCAUGUGAGAUUACAAGUUUGUCUUUACAGAUUACAGAUUGUAUUUUUCUCAGGAGAAAUAUCUGAGGAGCAGGAAACAGGGAAAAUUUGGUCCUCGUUUACGCAACUUCAUGUCAUUCUAAACCUGUUUGACGUCCUUUCUGUAGAACACAAAAUACAUUUUUUUUUUUUUUGUAUAUUUAUGAUAUUAGUUCUUCAAAAUAUCCUCUUGUGUUCCACAGAAGAAAGAAGGUCAUAAAGGUUUGGAACAACAUGAAGCGGAGUAAUUGAUGACUGAAUUUUAUUUUCUUUUUCUGCCCAAUUUUAUAUGUUCUGAACAAAACAGUGUUUCAGUGAGAUCUGGAGAUCAUGCCUCAGACCAGACUGUCAGAAAGAGAAAGAAGAAAAUCUCCUACUCCUUUCAUUCAUGCUGGAGAACAAAUCACUUCCUAUUUCUGAUUCUGCCAAAGUGCUUGGUCCAAAACCAGCUUCUGAUAAAUGAACUUGAUAUUCUGGUCUUCAAAUGUAAUCUUUUUUAUGGGCUUCUUUUAAACCCUAGAAUUUAAAUGAUUUCAGUGGCAUUAAAAUGCUAUAACUUAAAUAAUAGGUUUGCACCCACAACCUCGAAAUCAAACUUUCUUCGGAAAACAAGUUAUCAAUAAGCAGUUGAACAAAAGUACAUGUGCAUGCAUUCAACCUCUACAAACACUGACAAAAUGUCUCUGACUUCUUCCCAAAAAAAUAUGUUUCAGUGAAGUAAUUAUAUGUUUUGCAUUGGAGUACUUCCAAUGAUAACUCAUGACCUCUCUGAAAUAUGUUUCUCUGAGGUAACAUUGCACUCAAGGUCUCCAACAUAAACUAUUAAUCGCUAAACUCUGUAAUCGAGUUGCAUUGCUUGUUAUUUACUGCACGUAAGUCUAAGGUCUAAAGUGAACUAAAAGCUGCACUGUCAAAGCCACCAGAUAUCACUGCAGAUUUUAUUCAGGGAGCCAUGUCAGUCUUUACUGCAACUUUCAAUCAAUUUAAUGUGCCUUUGCUGUAAGAACUGCAAUUUAUUUCACAAAAAAAAAAAAAAAAAAAAACAACAACAAAAAAAGUUUUAACAAUAAUGUAUAUCCACUAUUAAAAAACAAAUAAAUACAUACAAUUUUGACA